rnacentral:rRNA from 1 species
UACGAAGGGGGCUAGCGUUGCUCGGAAUCACUGGGCGUAAAGCGCACGUAGGCGGGUUCUUAAGUCAGGGGUGAAAUCCUGGAGCUCAACUCCAGAACUGCCUUUGAUACUGGGAAUCUCGAGUCCGGGAGAGGUGAGUGGAACUGCGAGUGUAGAGGUGAAAUUCGUAGAUAUUCGCAAGAACACCAGUGGCGAAGGCGGCUCACUGGCCCGGUACUGACGCUGAGGUGCGAAAGCGUGGGGAGUAAACAGG